AUACUCUGGUUUCUCUUCAGAUCGUAUAAAUCUUUCGCCUUUUACUAAAGAUUUCCGUGGAGAGGAACAAUUCUGAGUUUUUACCCAAUUUUUUGAGGCCUUGCUUUUAAGCAAGGCU
ensembl:snRNA U5 U5 spliceosomal RNA